UACGUAGGGUCCGAGCGUUGUCCGGAAUUACUGGGCGUAAAGCGUGCGCAGGCGGUUUGUUAAGUCCGCUGUGAAAUCCCCGAGCUCAACUUGGGAAUUGCAGUGGAUACUGGCAAGCUGGAGUAUGGUAGAGGAAGGUGGAAUUCCCGGUGUAGCAGUGAAAUGCGUAGAGAUCGGGAGGAACACCAGUGGCGAAGGCGGCCUUCUGGACCAAUACUGACGCUCAUGCACGAAAGCGUGGGGAGCAAACAGG
rnacentral:rRNA from 1 species